AGCACGAACACCUUAGAGAAGUUUGAUCAAGUUUAGAAUUGUUUACACAAUGUAAAAGCAGAAAUAUACAGGUACAAUUGAAUUUUCCACCAAAUUGUUGCAGCUUGGAAUUUUCAAUUGAAUAGUACAAACUCAAAAUAUAGCAUCAUCAUCCAAGUUAACUCUCAUUAGUGUCUCCAUCAAUGUUAUUACCAAGUUCACCCAGAUUUGAACAGAAGUACAGCUUUUGAAUCCAAAUAGAAGUAGACAAAGUGGUUUGUUUCAUGAGUCACAUAAGAGCCGAAGUUUUUUCCGACGAUGCAAUGCCAAGUAGGACCGUACUUCUUAUCAAACUCCUUCUUAAUCAGUUCAGCUACAUCCUUCUCUACAUUAUGCUUCUCAAAUGCAGCAAUAGCAAUGUCGACGGCCUCCUUUUGUACAUCAGGUUUCAUAUCGGCACUCUUUAUGGUAACUUUUGUGCCGGUAGGAGAAGGAACGGAACCUGAUGAGAUUCUCCGAUCAUCGGAGGUAGGCUUCACAGCCGGAGCUCCUCCGCUUUUCUUUGCGUCUUCGCUCAUGUCUUCAGCUUUAUAUCAGGUUUGAGCCGUCAAAAUACUUCGCCUGAACUGUAGAACAGCCCCUCUCGGACGGCGGGUGGUGGUGUGGAAUAAGUGAGAGAGAGUUGAGAGGGGUGUGGGGUGGGCAGGG
rnacentral:misc_RNA from 1 species